rnacentral:lncRNA from 1 species
GGGCACUGACGAGGGCGGGGAGUGAUCGCCGGUGCAAGAAGCAUGGUGCAAGGGGCACGGACAAGGAGCGGCUCCUGGCAGGCUUCAAGUGGAAGGGGCACAUGGACGAAUCGAACAUACACCGGAAUGAGAGGGAUCUGGAGACUCUAUAGGUAUGAGACUAUACAGUUGAAGGAUAACUUAAAGGAAUUGAUUUGGCUACCCAUAUCACCAAAAUGCAUUUACUUUUCGGUAGCCUAACCCUUAAGAACUCCAUGGUUAAGCGUG